UAUUCUGAAGGGGCAUGCCUGUUUGAGUAUCAUGAACACCUCAACUCUCAUGGUUCGCCAUGAUGAGCUCGGACUUUGGGGGUCUUGCCGGCCUGUGUCGGCUCCUCUCAAACGGAUCAGCUUGCCAGUGUUUGGUGGCAUCACGGGUGUGAUAACUAUCUACGCUUGUGGUUUUCCACCAUGUAACCUUCAGCAAUGGAGGUUCGCUGGAGCUCACAGAUGUCUCUCCUCGGUGAGGACGGCUUUUGAACGUUUGAUCUCAAAUCAGGUAGGACUACCCGCUGAACUUAAGCAUAUCAAUAAGCGGAGG
rnacentral:rRNA from 1 species